CAUGCACACAAAGCUUUAAGGUUUGAUCAUGCAAACACACGUGAUUCAAAUCCAUCAGGUUUUUGAAAAAAAUAAAAAGGACCGAUACUUUUCUAACAGACCUCGUAUACUGUCUACUGGUUGCUGGUGCAGGCCAAGUUUGAGGAACCUCAUUUUUGUGAAACGGAGGAUUAUAUGUAUUGCUUAUCAUAAGAGAAGGCAAGAGAGCAUGAUCCACAUCAUCAAAGAAGCAAAAUCAUGAAGGGAAACAAUUGUGACCGAUGACGGCAUAGUGCAACCUGCAAUCGCACCACUAGAUGGCAGUAAAUUGUACACACUGUAGCUUUAAGGAUGUAUAGGCUCUUGUUUUUGUCAGUAAAUGUUACCAAUUCGCCAAAAAUACAUUCUACUUCAGAACUGUGUCAGAUUAGAUUAGAUAGAACUUUAUUAAUCCCUUGGGAAGACACCCUGGAAAUUGAAGUUCUAACAGCAUUGUAUAGCAGCACAAAGGGUAAGAAGCACCCAGAGUAUAAAAAGCUAAAAAAAAAAAAAAACAACUGUAAAAAAAUCUAACUGUAUAUACAAAUAUAAAUACCAGAAAUACUGCCCGCUAAGGGUUUACUGGCUACUACUGAGCUAAUAAAAUAAGCACAACUGGGACCUGAACCCUUCAAUUAAACAUUAGAGGGUAAGUGACUCUUACGCCUGAACUUAGCUUAAAGACAAUAAGAUAUGUAGGCCCGAAACAAAGUGCUACUGCCAAACAAGACUGUAACUCAGAUGGAAGAACGGUACACAAACAGUUUGUUUGUGUACACAAAUGUACUUGAGCAAUAAAAAAGAGGGGUGAAGAAACUGAAUCACCGGACAGUGUUUGGCAUUUCUCAUCUAAGAUGAAAAAACCACCAUGUCAAAGGCUUCUUUUUACACAGUCCAUUUUUAUUUUGUAAUAACACAUGAGGAACAUUUCUUCACAAAACCAGAUAAUAUCCUGUUAAAUGUACUUAGAAUGUUCUGUGUGGAAAUUGUUACCAGGCUUUCACUGCACAUUUUUUCUCCACUGUAUGUUAUUAAUGAAAAUUUAUCGCUGAUUAUUUCUGGCAUUUUCUAUUCAACAAUAUCUUGAAACAUUUUCAUCCAGCGCUGUGUUACAGAAUAUAUGAUAAGAACAUGAUCUCAUUGUGUUGUGACAGAGACCUUUCUACAUGUAUUUUGGAAACAUUUUCUCUUUGUUUAAAAUUUCUGAUUGUUUUAUUUUAGUGUGAGUGUGAAUGUGUGAAUAGUGUAAGUGUUACUGCCACAAACAUUUCAUUAUAUGAAAACCCAUCAGAGCUACGUUUGUGACACGACUAAGAGCUUUAUUUGCAUGAAUGACUAAUGCUCUAGUUUUGUUUCCUGUAACAGAAAAAGAUAAUAAAUUACUGAGCAAUGA